rnacentral:tRNA from 1 species
GCUCACUGGCUCAGUUGGUAGAGCAUGUGACUCUUGAUCUCAGGGUCAUGAGUUCAAGCCCCAUGUUGGGCA